ensembl:misc_RNA Y_RNA Y RNA
AGCUGGUCCAAAGGUAGUGAGUUCUCUCAAUGGAUUGUUCACAGUCAGUUACAGAUCAAACUCCUUGUUCUACACUUUCCUCCUUUUUCCCUACUGUACUCAACUAGUCUUUU